UACGUAGGGUGCAAGCGUUGUCCGGAAUUAUUGGGCGUAAAGAGCUCGUAGGCGGUCUGUCGCGUCGGCUGUGAAAACUUGGGGCUCAACCCCAAGCCUGCAGUCGAUACGGGCAGACUAGAGUGUGGUAGGGGAGACUGGAAUUCCUGGUGUAGCGGUGAAAUGCGUAGAGAUCGUAAGGAAGACCAGUGGCGAAGGCGGGUCUCGUGGACAGUUCCUGACACUGAGGCACGAAGGCCAGGGGAGCAAACGGG
rnacentral:rRNA from 1 species